rnacentral:rRNA from 1 species
CAGCGCCACGAGUGGGGACUGUAAUUAUUGGGCCUAAAGCGUCCGUAGCCGGUUCGAUAAAUUUUUUGUGAAAUUGUUGGGCUCAACUCAACACCGUGCAGAAAAGACUGUCAAACUUGGGACUGGGAGGAGUCAGAAGUAUCUUUGGGGUAGCGGUAAAAUGUUAUAAUCCUAAAGAGACUACCAGUGGCGAAAGCGUCUGACUAGAACAGGUCCGACGGUGAGGGACGAAAGCCAGGGGAGCAAACCGGAUUAGAUACCCGUGUAGUCC